GGGGAUUUGGCUCAGCGGUAGAGCAUUUGCCUAGCAAGCGCAAGGCCCUGGGUUCGGUCCCCAGCUCCA
rnacentral:tRNA from 1 species